UUAUGACCUUAAAAUAGGUCGAAAGCUUGUCAAUUGCAAUUUGUUUUUUCAGCCAGACCAAACUGGCUGAACCAGGAAAAUUAAUAGUAAUUUUAUCUUCUUAAACGUUGUGAAUUUUUCGGAGAUCCAUUUGAAACAGCGUUUGAAACAGCCGAGGGUAGACUUUUCUCAGCCGACUUUUCGAGUUCAUCGCAAUUAGAAUUAUGACGGUAAACAAACUAAUCUAACCGUUUGGACCGGAUUACAGUAAGCCGUUGUGUGUUAUUUAAAGUUCAGGUCGAGUUUUUAUCCAGUGAAAUAUAAACGGGUUCCGUGAAGAGGGUUAACCACGAAAUUCCGUGAUCAUGAACAUGUAAGGGCGUUGUUUAGCUCAAUAAAGGGAUGUGAACGCCGACUAAAGCCGAGAAAAUUUUCCCAUUUUAAUUAUUUCUAACUUUCUUCCGCCUUCUCGGCCGUCACUUAUAAUGAAUAUUUGAUUUCAAAUAGCUGUUUCGUCUAUAUCUAUUAUUGCAUAAUCGAACUGGGCUGUCCGAGAUCGUCGCGAUAACCUCUGUUAACGCUUUUUUACUUCUGCUGGCUUACCUAAGCAACAGAAAAAAUAUGGCUUUGACCAGUGCCAAUUCACGUUCAAUAUAUGAACGGUUAGAUCACUCUAGCUUUAAAUACGUUAAUGUAAUUUUUUUAUUUUUUUAUUAGAGAGACAGAAGCUAUCAGCUCUUCUGGCAUUGCCUUAUGAAUACUUGUGUUGAAAUUACAUUUACUCCAACGUUGAACUGAAGAAUUGAAUUGGAUUCUGAAAAUUAUGAAUAGAAGACGAUGUUAGCUACAUCAUUUUCUUUUUUAAAUGUUUAGCUCAAUAUUUUUGUUUUUGAUAAACAAAGAAAAACAAUUAAUUUUUUUAAAAGUAAAGUUACUUAUUUAACCAAUUAUUUUGACUUUUCGGGAAUUUACAACCAUCAUAGGCAUCUACAUUUUUAAACGACACCUGGAUCAAUCAAUAAGGAUACGAAACCAUCCAGGCUUUGAACCAGUUUUUACCAACGCAAUACACGAAAUGUGAUAUUCAACCAGGACAUCCAAUUAUUCCAGGUACGAUUCAAUCGAUUCUAUUACGAUGUCAUUUACAUUAGCAGUAAAUUUGGGCGGUGAACUAUUCACUAAAAAUACUUUAUAAAUAAAGACAGCAUAUCACCUCGCCAAUUUUAAAGAUAAUUAGACAGACAAAAUAGUAUAUUCAUUAACGUAACCUUCGCGGUUUCGCAUAUUGUCUGACAAGUGAAGAAUAUUAAAUGGUGCAUAAAUUAUACAUUGCAGAGCUGUGCAAUGCCAACUAUUUAAAUCGCAGAUAGCCUGCAAUUUGUGUCAGACUUUUUUUUUCUUUGACGAGUUCGAGUAAAAAAUUAUCGCUUUGUAGGAUUUCAACGGUAUUCAAUCAUGUAGAUAGAAGAAAAACUCAUUUCUUUUAUAAUAAGACACGCGUUUAAUGUAUCGAUAAUAGACAGAAAAAACUCUAUAAAACUUGUUAGAUGCAAUUUAGCAAAUUGCAGUGAAAACCACAAAUGCUUUUGAACAAUAAUUCAUUCAUAUCUACUUGGAUUAAAACAGGUUGAGACCUGAACGAAGGCCGCUGAUAUGUCAAUGUCCGAUGCCUAUCAUCCGUCCUACUUUAGAAUCGUCUCGUAAUUUUACAAUUUCACCAAAGAUUGAAUUUCCGCAAUGCUUUAGGAUUGGGAACGUAGUCGAUUAUUACGUGUAGUACGUAUUUUUCAAAAAAACAAUUUCAGUCGUUAUCGUUUCACUAAAUUGAUCGAUUCGAGGAAAAUUGCAUAUUUACUUUUUG